GACGAACGCUGGCGGCGUGCUUAACACAUGCCAGUCGAACGGAAAGGCCCUGCUUUUGUGGGGUGCUCGAGUGGCGAACGGGUGAGUAACACGUGAGUAACCUGCCCUUGACUUUGGGAUAACUUCAGGAAACUGGGGCUAAUACCGGAUAGGAGCUCCUGCUGCAGGGUGGGGGUUGGAAAGUUUCGGCGGUUGGGGAUGGAUUCGCGGCUUACCAGCUUGUUGGUGGGGUAGUGGCUUACCAAGGCUUUGACGGGUAGGCGGCCUGGGAGGGUGACCGGCCACAUUGGGACUGAGAUACGGCCCAGACUCCUACGGGAGGCAGCAGUGGGGAAUAUUGCCCAAUGGGCGGAAGCCUGAUGCAGCAACGCCGCGUGCGGGAUGACGGCCUUCGGGUUGUAAACCGCUUUCGCCUGUGACGAAGCGUGAGUGACGGUAAUGGGUAAAGAAGCACCGGCUAACUACGUG
rnacentral:rRNA from 1 species